CCCACAAACACGGACAGACUGACAGAAGCAAACAAACGGAAACUUGAGUAUUUCUCUCAUGACACCGGCAUCGAUCUGUAUCAAUUCCAACGUUAAUAUAAAUAUUAUCGAUUAUUUGGAUCGAUCUGCACACCAAUAGUUUGUCUGUUUGCGGAAGUGAAGAAGCCGCGGUAAGAAAGUCGUCAUGUCGGCCAUAGCAAUUCUGAGACGUAAUAAAACAGGCAUUCAGUUGAUUCUGUCAGCAGACCCCCACCUCCUCAUCCAAAAACUUCUUGAAGAACAUCUAAUAACACUCCGUCAACACAGGAACCUCAAACUAAAUAAAACCAGUGAAGAGCUGGUCACCGAGGUCUUGGAUUUAAUCCAAACUAAAGGAGAAACCAUGUGCCGUCGUUUCCUGGAGCUUCUGCGAACUGAUGAAGACCUUAAAGCUGCUUUUCCAGGUUUACAGGAGACACUCAGAGAUUAUGUGGAACUAAAGACACGAGACGAGAGAAAAAAGAUGAACCUCCUCAGUGUUCUGGAAAAACUGGACGAUGAAGAAUUUAAGGAGUUCAAGGGGAAACUUAAAGAAGAACCUAUGUUCAGAUGGUUCCGGGUGGAAAAGGCAGAAAGGACGGAUGUAGUCGAUCUUAUGAUGGACUCAUAUGGUGGAUCUGGUUCCAGGAUGGAGACCAGGAAGGUUUUAGAGGACAUGAACAGGACUGAUCUGGUCCAGAGGCUGACAGAGAUCUACUCAGAACCAGGAGGUGAAGGUGGACCAAAGACCCAGACUCCAGAGGAGAGCAAAGAGAUGAACCUCCUCAGUGUUCUGAAAGAACUGGAAGAUGAAGCAUUUAAGGAGUUCAAGAGGAGACUUUAUGAAGACCCUACGUUCCCAAGGUUCCAACAGAUAAAGGCAGAAAGGACGGAUGUAAUCAAUCUGAUGAUGGACAGAUAUGGUGGAUCUGUAUCCAGGAGGGUUUUAGUGGACAUGAACAGGACUGAUCUGGUCCAGAGGCUGACAGAGAUCUACUCAGAACCAGGUGAAGGUGGACCAAAGACCCAGACUCCAGAGGAGAGACACAAGAUGAACCUCCUCAGUGUUCUGGAAGAACUGAAAGAUGAAGAAUUUAAGAUGUUCAAGAGGAAACUUUAUGAAGACCCUAUGUUCCAAUGGUCCCGGCUGGAAAAGGUAGAAAGGACAGAUGUAGUCGAUCUGAUGAUGGACUCAUAUGGUGGAGCUAUAACUUGGAUGGAGACCAGGAGGGUUUUAGAGGACAUAAAGAGGACUGAUCUGGUCCAGAGGCUGACAAAGAUCUACUCAGAACCAGGAGGUGAAGGUGGACCAAAGACCCAGACUCCAGAGGAGACUCAAAGACCAAUGGAGACCCGGGAGCCAUAUCAUAGUCUGCGUGAUCGGUUUGUGUCUUAUAUCCGCAGGGUGGAACUUCUGAGUCACUCAGCAUCCAGGUCAUGGAGCACAAAUAUGGAGAGGAUCCUCCAGGACUUUCUGGAUUCACUGACACAGGAUCAGUUUGAUGAGUUCAAGCAGCACCUCAAGGAUGGAGAUGUGUUUAUGAGGGAGUCCAACCUGGAAACUGCAUCAAGGAGAAACACAGUGAAGAUAAUGUUCCAGAUGUGUGGUGCAUCUGGAGCCAUGAAGAACACCGGGGGGGUUUUAAAGAAGAUGGGAAGGAUUGAUCUGGUCCAGAGGCUGUCAAAGCUCUGCUCAACACUAGAAGGUCCAUCCACUUCAGACCCAUUCGCAUCAGACCCCUCCAUCCCAGGUCCAUCAACAUCAGGCAUGUCCACCCCAAGUCUGACCCCGUCAGACAUGUCCAUAUCAGAGCCAUCCACCCCAAGUCCAUCCACAUCAGACAAAAACCUGAGGGUGUGUGAGGAUGUCACAGAGGACUGUGUGGAUGAAGAUGAUGAGAUGAAUCCUCAUGGUACAGAGAAACAGCAGUUUGUCUGCACAGAGGCUCAGGCUGGACCAUCUGACUGGGAGGAGUUCACACCCGAAGAUUCAGCAGAGUCUGGAACAACUAUGUACAGGUAA
rnacentral:lncRNA from 1 species